CAGCAGCCGCGGUAAUACGAAGGGUGCAAGCGUUAAUCGGAAUUACUGGGCGUAAAGCGUGCGUAGGCGGUGAGUUAAGUCUGCUGUGAAAUCCCCGGGCUCAACCUGGGAAUGGCAGUGGAUACUGGCUCGCUAGAGUGUGUCAGAGGAUGGUGGAAUUCCCGGUGUAGCGGUGAAAUGCGUAGAGAUCGGGAGGAACAUCAGUGGCGAAGGCGGCCAUCUGGGACAACACUGACGCUGAGGCACGAAAGCGUGGGGAGCAAACAGGAUUAGAUACCCCGGUAGUCCCUGUCUCUUAUCC
rnacentral:rRNA from 1 species